rnacentral:lncRNA from 1 species
CAACGUGCACACACAUCUGGUCUAGUGGUACCUCUGGAUGGUUUUGUUAACGUCACUGCUCUGCCUGGAAGGCCUUCAUUCCUCAGCUGCAUGACCUUGGUUCUGCUUCCACUGAGACCUUGCUAAAGGCUCCAGUUCUCCUAGAUGCCUUCCCAGACUAAAUUCCUUUCUUUGAGAUCAGCUCCCGGCUUUGUAUACUUUGGCGGUGUAUCUGUAGGUUUUAGUUUCUCACCAAGAAGGCAGGAAUAGUAAUGCUGAGCCUUUAGAGGGGAAAUUAUGAUGAUAGCUGCCACUGAAGAUGCUGCUGCUGGUGAUAAUGAUGACAACUGUUGAUGGUGGUGAGGAUAUCUAACAUUUAUUUCAUGUUUGUCCUGUGUUAGACUAGGGUUAGAAGCAGCUGUGUAGGUGGUUGGCAUGCUGUGUGGAGUCUGG